UACGUAGGGUCCGAGCGUUGUCCGGAAUUACUGGGCGUAAAGCGCACGUAGGCGGAUAUUUAAGUCAGGGGUGAAAUCCCGGGGCUCAACCCCGGAACUGCCUUUGAUACUGGGUAUCUCGAGUCCGAGAGAGGUGAGUGGAAUUCCGAGUGUAGAGGUGAAAUUCGUAGAUAUUCGGAAGAACACCAGUGGCGAAGGCGACUCACUGGACACGUAUUGACGCUGAGGUGCGAAAGCGUGGGGAGCAAACAGGG
rnacentral:rRNA from 1 species